rnacentral:lncRNA from 1 species
CCAGUUUGAAGAUGAGGAAGCAGGGGCAUACAGAGGGCUCUGGCAGGGUCAUGUAGGAGCUCUGUGUGGCGUCUCACCAACAGGUGAGAGGAUGUCUUCCCACAGGAGACCAAACUGGAGGGUUGUGGAGUGAGAAAAAGUCAAGUUUAUCCUGUCCACAGAGGCUCCCAGCAUGAAGUCAAGACAUGAUUUUGAAGGCAGACAGCCGAGCGAGAACUCCAGCUCCCCAUUGCCUGCUCUGUGACCCCUCAGUGUCCCCAGCUGCAGAUGGCAUAAUAAUAACACUCACCCCAUAGGCCUGCCGUGAGGGAUUAAUGCCUGUGAAGCACUCAGAACAGUGUCUGGUACAGAGUAAGUGCUAUGUGGGUGUUUGUGAAAAAUAAACACGGGGC